rnacentral:rRNA from 1 species
GACGAACGCUGGCGGCGUGCUUAACACAUGCCAGUCGAACGAUGAAGAAGAGAAACGCGAACUUCGGUUCAAAUUUCACUUCGGAUUAGUGGCAGACGGGUGAGUAACGCGUGAGCAACCUACCUCUUACAAAGGGAUAGCCUCGGGAAACCGUGAUUAAUACCAUAUGACACAUUCAUAAGGCAUCUUAAGAAUGUUAAAGCUACGGCGGUAAGAGAUGGGCUCGCGUCCCAUUAGCUAGUUGGUGAGGUAACGGCCCACCAAGGCGACGAUGGGUAACCGGCCUGAGAGGGUGAACGGUCACAUUGGAACUGAGACACGGUCCAAACUCCUACGGGAGGCAGCAGCGGGGAAUAUUGCACAAUGGAGGGAACUCUGAUGCAGCGACGCCGCGUGAGCGAUGAAGGAAUUCGUUUCGUAAAGCUCUGUUCUAUGGGAAGAAAAGGACUGUACCAUAGGAGAAAGCCCCGGCUAAAUACGUG